GACGAACCGAGCGAACGUUAUUCGGAAUCACUGGGCUUAAAGGGCGCGUAGGCGGGCCGUCAAGUCGAGGGUGAAAUCCCCCAGCUCAACUGGGGAGUGCCUCCGAUACUGGCGGCCUCGAGGGGAUAGGGGCAUGCGGAACUUUCGGUGGAGCGGUGAAAUGCGUAGAUAUCGGAAGGAACACCGGUGGCGAAAGCGGCGUGCUGGAUCCCUUCUGAC
rnacentral:rRNA from 1 species